rnacentral:misc_RNA from 1 species
GAUGAAGAACGCAGCAAAAUGCGAUAAGUAGUGUGAAUUGCAGAAUUCAGUGAAUCAUCGAAUCUUUGAACGCACAUUGCGCUCCCUGGUAUUCCGGGGAGCAUGCCUGUUCGAGCGUCAUUACAACCCUCAAGCUCUGCUUGGUGUUGGGCCCCGCCGCCCCGGCGGGCCCUAAAGUCAGUGGCGGUGCCGUCCGGCUCCGAGCGUAGUAAUUUUUCUCGCUUUGGAGGCCCGGGCGCGUGCUUGCCAUCAACCCCCAAUUUUUUUCAGGUUGACCUCGGAUCAGGUAGGGAUACCCGCUGAACUUAAGCAUAUCAAUAAGCGGAGGA